GACGAACGCUGGCGGCGUGCCUAACACAUGCAAGUCGAGCGAAGUGAGUACUACGGUACGAACUUAGCGGCGGACGGGUGAGUAACGCGUGGACAAUCUACCCUGCAGACUGGGAUAACACCUCGAAAGGGGUGCUAAUACAGGAGAAUGUCGCGGAGCGGCAUCGCUUGUCGAAGAAAGGAGAGAAUCCGCUAUAGGAGGAGUCCGCGUCCCAUUAGCUAGUUGGUGAGGGUAACGGCCCACCAAGGCGACGAUGGGUAGCCGGCCUGAGAGGGUGAACGGCCACACUGGAACUGAGACACGGUCCAGACUCCUACGGGAGGCAGCAGUGGGGAAUAUUGUGCAAUGGGGGAAACACUGACACAGCAACGCAGCGUGAGCGAAGAAGGCCUUCGGGUUGUAAAGCUCAAUAGUAUGGGAAGAUAAUGACGGUACCAUACGAAAGCCCCGGCUAACUACGUGCCAGCCGCCGCAGUAAGAC
rnacentral:rRNA from 1 species